rnacentral:rRNA from 1 species
UACGGAGGAUGCAAGCGUUGUCCGGAAUGAUUGGGCGUAAAGGGUCCGCAGGUGGCAGUGUAAGUCUGCUGUCAAAGAAUGAGGCUUAACCUUAUCAAGGCAGUGGAAACUACACAGCUAGAGUACGGUCGGGGUAGAAGGAAUUCCUGGUGUAGCGGUGAAAUGCGUAGAGAUCAGGAAGAACACCGGUGGCGAAAGCGUUCUGCUAGACCUGUACUGACACUGAGGGACGAAAGCUAGGGGAGCGAAUGGG